GUGUGGGCAAGUCUGGGGGCGGGGAUAUAGAGAAUGAGGAGAUCACCAGUGACCUGGUCUCAGAGGCCCUGGCUAAGAAGAUGAGACAGCUGCAGGAGUCAUUACCCCAUGAGGCCGGCUAGCAAGUUCACCCCUGAUGCAAAAGAGACAGACACAAGAAUGAAUGAAAGGGCCCUAAACUGGAGGAAGGGCUCCCAGGAGAGCUUGGGGACAUCUCAGUCCUCUUAGCAGCACCCCAACUCAGCCACUAGGCGAAGCCUGGCGCGUCUCCAUGGCGACGACGGUGGCCUAGACCUGAAACAACUGUUCCCUUCGAAAGACACUGAAGGCCUUGCUCCAGGCUUCUGCCUGGGACCUGGAAAUGGAGGAAAUCGUGCUUACCUACUACGGGAGGGCUCGGCAACUCAGGAUUAAGCACCUACUAUGUGGUCCUUCAAGAGACAAAUUCCUACUUUGUGCCGCGCCCAGCCCCCAAAACAGAACUGGGUGUGGUGACACAUGCGCCUGCACCUGGGACCUGGGAUUUGGGAGGAUCAGGAAGUUCAGACUCGCCAGGACUGGCUGGGCAAGUGAGACCCUUCUGGAAAACAACAGGCUGGGAUGUGGAUUCGGGCGGUGGAGUGCUUACCUAGCAUGCACAAUGCCCUGGGUUCUAUCCUCAGCACUGCAGAAGCAGGGCAUGGCGGCUUGGGCCUCUCAUCCCAGCACUUGGGAAGUAGAAGCAGGUUUGACUACAUGAUCCUGUUGUCUCCUUCCCUCCAAACAACUCAGAGCGGAAAAAAAAUCCAAAAUUAAGAGUAACAACAGAUCAGCUAUAUAGCUCACUAAGCAGGGGAAAGUGCUUGCCUGGAAGCUGACCUGAGUUCAGUCCCUGGAAGCAAAGUUGGCCUCUGACCUCCACAUGACACUGUGGCAUUGUCGCACCUGCAUUUAUACACAGAUACAUGUACAAUAAUAAUAAAUGCAUUUUAAAGCAA